GGAGAAGGGGGCGGAAUUUAGGGGGCUUCAGCGCCGAGGGCGCGGGGGGCGCGACAGCCUCGUUGGGAGCGCGCGGAGGCCUGUGUGUCUGCACACGCUGCCCUCCGGAGCCAGGGGCGCAGCGGUCAGGAGAGGGGGCCGAGGCGGAGCGGAGGGUGCGGCCCCUGGGAUGUGCGCUUGGAAGAUUCUCCAGUGAGUCUCCUGGGCCCUGAUUUCAGGCAGAGCCGUCCUGUUUGUUUUCCCUGUUAUGAGGUUUCUCCUCUUCAGCCCCUCUUGGACCUCCAUUGCUAGCUGAACAAAGGCGGUGAAUCUUCAUCCUGAUCCAUCAAUCCUUCUGAAUCCCAUAAUGAGCUCACCAGUACAGCCCGGUCAGACUCCUUGCUUUAUACUAUGGGAACAGACUUUAGGUAAAGAAUGUUUCUUUGUGUUGCUUCAAGAUAUGCAA
rnacentral:lncRNA from 1 species